UGAUGACAUUUCUCCGGAAUCGCUGCACUGCCAUGAUGAAAGUGCAUUUGAACCCUUUUCCAUCUGACGGCUGGGCCCUCCUGGU
ensembl:snoRNA